ensembl:lincRNA Gm20619 predicted gene 20619
AGAGCGUUCACUCACUCUGCACUCCCAUCGAAACCACAGGCUCCAGCUCUCUGUGCUAUCUGUGGCUAUAUAGCCUGCUCACAGGAUCUAGGUCCCGUGUCACUGGAAACUGCCAACAGAGAGAGGAAAGACAGAAGCAGCUGCUUAAAAGCCAAGCACGGGGUUUGGAAGUUGUCUCUAAGAUGGCAACAGGCUCUUGGGAUCAGACAAAUCAGCUCCUUUGGAGAAAAAAGCCUUCUGCUCAGACACGGCAGGGAUAAAAUACCGAGGAGGAACGUCAUAGCUCAGAGCGCAAGUGUGACUAUUUCCCCACCAGCCCAACCCACUGCUCAAGGUGAUAACCCUGACUCCCCUGUUGUGAUCACUGGCAAGGGAGGGCUGUACUGUUAUCCUCUGUCCUUAGUAAAGUUGUCCUGGACUCAGUCUGGAAUCUUGCUGGACCUCUGACUCCAUCUUGAGUGGCCUGUGGGGCAUCGUUAGCCGAACUGGGUUUCUUGUGGUCAAGGAAGAUACAAAAUUGCUGGUGGGGUGGCCACGUCAAGGCCUGGCUUGUACAGGGGACCUUCUCUCACCAGGAACCACGGGAGGCCUGACCCCGGUGCAAGGCCACAAGGAAAAGCUGGCAAAACAGCCUGCCAUCGGCAGAGCACAGGAAGCGGUUUGCUCUGUGGCUACACCACCCAUGUGUUACACAAUGUGAUACGACGGGGGAGAAGUGGCUUUCUUCCUCUUCCAAAUUAAAAUAGCCUUUCCUUAACGAA